rnacentral:rRNA from 1 species
UUGACCUCAAAUCAGGUAGGACUACCCGCUGAACUUAAGCAUAUCAAUAAGCGGAGGAAAAGAAACUAACAAGGAUUCCCCUAGUAACUGCGAGUGAAGCGGGAAAAGCUCAAAUUUAAAAUCUGGCGGUCUCUGGCUGUCCGAGUUGUAAUCUAGAGAAGUGAUGCCCGCG